rnacentral:rRNA from 1 species
CGUCGCAAGACCAAAGUGGGGGACCUUCGGGCCUCAUGCCAUCAGAUGUGCCCAGAUGGGAUUAGCUAGUAGGUGGGGUAACGGCUCACCUAGGCGACGAUCCCUAGCUGGUCUGAGAGGAUGACCAGCCACACUGGAACUGAGACACGGUCCAGACUCCUACGGGAGGCAGCAGUGGGGAAUAUUGCACAAUGGGCGCAAGCCUGAUGCAGCCAUGCCGCGUGUGUGAAGAAGGCCUUCGGGUUGUAAAGCACUUUCAGCGGGGAGGAAGGCGAUAAGGUUAAUAACCUUGUCGAUUGACGUUACCCGCAGAAGAAGCACCGGCUAACUCCGUGCCAGCAGCCGCGGUAAUACGGAGGGUGCAAGCGUUAAUCGGAAUUACUGGGCGUAAAGCGCACGCAGGCGGUCUGUCAAGUCGGAUGUGAAAUCCCCGGGCUCAACCUGGGAACUGCAUUCGAAACUGGCAGGCUAGAGUCUUGUAGAGGGGGGUAGAAUUCCAGGUGUAGCGGUGAAAUGCGUAGAGAUCUGGAGGAAUACCGGUGGCGAAGGCGGCCCCCUGGACAAAGACUGACGCUCAGGUGCGAAAGCGUGGGGAGCAAACAGGAUUAGAUACCCUGGUAGUCCACGCCGUAAACGAUGUCGAUUUGGAGGUUGUGCCCUUGAGGCGUGGCUUCCGGAGCUAACGCGUUAAAUCGACCGCCUGGGGAGUACGGCCGCAAGGUUAAAACUCAAAUGAAUUGACGGGGGCCCGCACAAGCGGUGGAGCAUGUGGUUUAAUUCGAUGCAACGCGAAGAACCUUACCUGGUCUUGACAUCCACAGAACUUUCCAGAGAUGGAUUGGUGCCUUCGGGAACUGUGAGACAGGUGCUGCAUGGCUGUCGUCAGCUCGUGUUGUGAAAUGUUGGGUUAAGUCCCGCAACGAGCGCAACCCUUAUCCUUUGUUGCCAGCGGUCCGGCCGGGAACUCAAAGGAGACUGCCAGUGAUAAACUGGAGGAAGGUGGGGAUG